UACGUAGGUCCGAGCGUUGUCCGGAAUUAUUGGGCGUAAAGGGCUCGUAGGCGGUUUGUCACGUCGGGAGUGAAAACUCAGGGCUCAACCCUGAGCGUGCUUCCGAUACGGGGCAGACUAGAGGUAUGCAGGGGAGAACGGAAUUCCUGGUGUAGCGGUGGAAUGCGCAGAUAAUCAGGAGGAACACCGGUGGCGAAGGCGGUUCUCUGGGCAUUACCUGACGCUGGAGGAGCGAAAGCAUGGGGAGCGAA
rnacentral:rRNA from 1 species